UCCGCUUUAGCCCAGGAGGUAGAGCACAUCAUUCGUAAUGAUGGGGUCGCAGGGUCGAGUUCUGCAAGUGGCACUA
rnacentral:tRNA from 1 species